rnacentral:rRNA from 1 species
UAGUGGCGAACGGGUGAGUAACACGUGAGUAACCUGCCCUUGACUCUGGGAUAAGCCUGGGAAACUGGGUCUAAUACCGGAUACGACCAUCUGGCGCAUGUCAUGGUGGUGGAAAGCUUUUGUGGUUUUGGAUGGACUCGCGGCCUAUCAGCUUGUUGGUGGGGUAAUGGCCUACCAAGGCGACGACGGGUAGCCGGCCUGAGAGGGUGACCGGCCACACUGGGACUGAGACACGGCCCAGACUCCUACGGGAGGCAGCAGUGGGGAAUAUUGCACAAUGGGCGCAAGCCUGAUGCAGCGACGCCGCGUGAGGGAUGACGGCCUUCGGGUUGUAAACCUCUUUCAGUAGGGAAGAAGCGAAAGUGACGGUACCUGCAGAAGAAGCGCCGGCUAACUACGUGCCAGCAGCCGCGGUAAUACGUAGGGCGCAAGCGUUAUCCGGAAUUAUUGGGCGUAAAGAGCUCGUAGGCGGUUUGUCGCGUCUGCUGUGAAAGACCGGGGCUCAACUCCGGUUCUGCAGUGGGUACGGGCAGACUAGAGUGCAGUAGGGGAGACUGGAAUUCCUGGUGUAGCGGUGAAAUGCGCAGAUAUCAGGAGGAACACCGAUGGCGAAGGCAGGUCUCUGGGCUGUAACUGACGCUGAGGAGCGAAAGCAUGGGGAGCGAACAGGAUUAGAUACCCUGGUAGUCCAUGCCGUAAACGUUGGGCACUAGGUGUGGGGGACAUUCCACGUUUUCCGCGCCGUAGCUAACGCAUUAAGUGCCCCGCCUGGGGAGUACGGCCGCAAGGCUAAAACUCAAAGGAAUUGACGGGGGCCCGCACAAGCGGCGGAGCAUGCGGAUUAAUUCGAUGCAACGCGAAGAACCUUACCAAGGCUUGACAUGAACCGGAAAGACCUGGAAACAGGUGCCCCGCUUGCGGUCGGUUUACAGGUGGUGCAUGGUUGUCGUCAGCUCGUGUCGUGAGAUGUUGGGUUAAGUCCCGCAACGAGCGCAACCCUCGUUCUAUGUUGCCAGCGCGUUAUGGCGGGGACUCAUAGGAGACUGCCGGGGUCAACUCGGAGGAAGGUGGGGACGACGUCAAAUCAUCAUGCCCCUUAUGUCUUGGGCUUCACGCAUGCUACAAUGGCCGGUACAAAGGGUUGCGAUACUGUGAGGUGGAGCUAAUCCCAAAAAGCCGGUCUCAGUUCGGAUUGGGGUCUGCAACUCGACCCCAUGAAGUCGGAGUCGCUAGUAAUCGCAGAUCAG